UGCGAGAUCGUCUAAUUGGUAGGACACCUGUUUCUGAGACAGGAAAUGCAUUGGUUCAAAUCCUGCUCUCGCAG
rnacentral:tRNA from 1 species